rnacentral:tRNA from 1 species
AUUUGUAUAAUAUAAAUAUUAUAUUUGACUUCCAAUCAAAAAAUCUAAUCUUAGUACAAAUA